GAUGAACGCUGGCGGCGUGCCUAAUACAUGCAAGUCGAGCGAACAGAUAAGGAGCUUGCUCCUUUGCCGUUAGCGGCGGACGGGUGAGUAACACGUGGGUAACCUACCUAUAAGACUGGGAUAACUUCGGGAAACCGGAGCUACUACCGGAUAAUAUUUCGAACCGCAUGGUUCGAUAGUGAAAGAUGCUUUUGCUAUCACUUAUAGAUGGACCCGCGCCGUAUUAGCUAGUUGGUAAGGUAACGGCUUACCAAGGCGACGAUACGUAGCCGACCUGAGAGGGUGAUCGGCCACACUGGAACUGAGACACGGUCCAGACUCCUACGGGAGGCAGCAGUAGGGAAUCUUCCGCAAUGGGCGAAAGCCUGACGGAGCAACGCCGCGUGAGUGAUGAAGGUCUUCGGAUCGUAAAACUCUGUUAUUAGGGAAGAACAUACGUGUAAGUAACUGUGCACGUCUUGACGGUACCUAAUCAGAAAGCCACGGCUAACUACGUG
rnacentral:rRNA from 1 species